rnacentral:lncRNA from 1 species
UCCUUAAAAGCAUACCUCAAUAAACUAUUUAAUCAUCAUAAAAAAUUAAAUAAAGGGAAAUAAAUCAAAGCAUUACCGACAAACCUAAACAAUUGGGUUGGAUGACAGUUCAUGAAGAUAAUUAACUUCACUGGAUAAACUUUACAUAGUUACCACCCACUAACAGAUUUCAAUGUCCAUAAGCAUCUCGUGGUUUCCUCUCCAGUCUUCAGUAAAGGAUAAGGAUAGAUGGGAAAAGAUGGCCAGAAAGCAAAAAGCAAUACGAAUUACAGAAAGCAAUAUAAUAACUGCAUGCAGUUACACAAGCUAUACACGCAUAGGAUGCAG